rnacentral:rRNA from 1 species
AGCUCUACGAGUGUAUAUUUAAGUUGUUGCGGUUGAAAAGUUCGUAGUCGAAUCUUUGUCGUUUUCGCCUUUCGUCCGUCUGUUCGACGUGUACGUUGGCGAUGCGUCACUUUGAUUCAUUGCGUGCGUUGGCAAUUAACUUUGCUGGCGUGUCGUGUGAAUCCAUAAACUGUGAACAACUUGGAGCGUUCAAAGCAGGCCAACUGGGCCAUUGAACAAUCUUGCAUGGGAUUUUAGAAAAGGACUUGUUUCGAUUCUUUUGGUUCAAUCAAGCGAGUAAUGAUAAAGAGGAACGGAGGGGGCCAUUUGUACGGGUUGGCCAGAGGUGAAAUUCUAUGACUCAGCCCAGACACACUACUGCGAAGGCAUUUGGCAACGACGUUUCCAUUGAUCAAGAACG